UGGUUCUGGCAUCGAUGAAGAACGCAGCGAAAUGCGAUAAGUAAUGUGAAUUGCAGAAUUCAGUGAAUCAUCGAAUCUUUGAACGCACAUUGCGCCCCUUGGUAUUCCGAGGGGCAUGCCUGUUCGAGCGUCAUUAUGACCACUCAAGCCUAGCUUGGUAUUGGGGUUCGCGUGCUCGCGGCCCCUAAAAUCAGUGGCGGUGCCGUCUGGCUCUAAGCGUAGUAAUUCUCUCGCUACAGGGUCUAGCCGGUUGCUUGCCAAAACCCCAACUUUCUUAGGUUGACCUCGGAUCAGGUAGGGAUACCCGCUGA
rnacentral:misc_RNA from 1 species